CGAAAGCCUGACGGAGCAAGACCGCGUGGGGGAGGAAAGCCUUUGGGUUGUAAACCCCUUUUCUCAGGGAAGAAGAAAGUGACGGUACCUGAGGAAUCAGCCUCGGCUAACUCCGUGCCAGCAGCCGCGGUAAUACGGAGGAGGCAAGCGUUAUCCGGAAUGAUUGGGCGUAAAGCGUCCGCAGGUGGCUUGUCAAGUCUGCUGCCAAAGCACGGGGCUUAACUCCGUAAAGGCAGUGGAAACUGAAUAGCUAGAGUGCCGUAGGGGUAGAGGGAAUUCCCGGUGUAGCGGUGAAAUGCGUAGAUAUCGGGAAGAACAUCGGUGGCGAAGGCGCUCUACUGGACUGCAACUGACACUCAGGGACGAAAGCUAGGGGAGCG
rnacentral:rRNA from 1 species